rnacentral:rRNA from 1 species
GCAGUCGAGCGGAGUGAUGGUGCUUGCACUAUCACUUAGCGGCGGACGGGUGAGUAAUGCUUAGGAAUCUGCCUAUUAGUGGGGGACAACAUUUCGAAAGGAAUGCUAAUACCGCAUACGUCCUACGGGAGAAAGCAGGGGAUCUUCGGACCUUGCGCUAAUAGAUGAGCCUAAGUCGGAUUAGCUAGUUGGUGGGGUAAAGGCCUACCAAGGCGACGAUCUGUAGCGGGUCUGAGAGGAUGAUCCGCCACACUGGGACUGAGACACGGCCCAGACUCCUACGGGAGGCAGCAGUGGGGAAUAUUGGACAAUGGGCGCAAGCCUGAUCCAGCCAUGCCGCGUGUGUGAAGAAGGCCUUAUGGUUGUAAAGCACUUUAAGCGAGGAGGAGGCUACUGAAGUUAAUACCUUCAGAUAGUGGACGUUACUCGCAGAAUAAGCACCGGCUAACUCUGUGCCAGCAGCCGCGGUAAUACAGAGGGUGCAAGCGUUAAUCGGAUUUACUGGGCGUAAAGCGCGCGUAGGCGGCUAAUUAAGUCAAAUGUGAAAUCCCCGAGCUUAACUUGGGAAUUGCAUUCGAUACUGGUUAGCUAGAGUGUGGGGAGAGGAUGGUAGAAUUCCACGU